AUUUUAGUUUACAUAAGCUGGGGGUGGUAAAGAGUAAGAGGUCUUCUGUAAAGUAAUAAAGUCAUGGAAGUCCAUUGAGAGAGCCCUUUUCAAUCCAGUGGCACAAAAUGUGUUCCAUGCCUUCAAAGACAAAAGUUCAGAUCUUCAUGUUGAGUGGAAAUAAAACAUCUGCAAAUUCAAGAAACAAGGUUUGAUAUCUGCUCAAGUUUACAUCACAUAAAAACAUUAAUAUGAGAAAUCUCAGUUGAAACAUCAGUGUCUUGCCUUCCUACUUCUGACAGAAGUAUUUCCUGGAAACAAGGAACACGGUGCAAAUCAGCCUACAGAACUCUCAGACACCGGGAAAAUCUCAAUAAGAAGAAGCUGGCCUCAUCUGUACCUGCCCUACACCAAGUUUACAACAGUCCCAGUCAAAGAAACAGGAAAGGACACUUCAAAGAAAGUAUUGGCAGGAUGUUUAGGACACUAAUUCAGGAUGCAGACAAACCAGGGC
ensembl:lncRNA